rnacentral:rRNA from 1 species
CGGUUAUACGAGAGGCCCCAGUUGAUAAUACCGCGGCGUAAAGGGUGGUUAAGGGCUCCAACCAAUAAAGCUAAAUAGCCCCCCGGCCGUCAUACGCUUCCAGGCGCUAGAGACCCAAUUCCACGAAAGUAGCUUUAGUAACACUCACCUGACCCCACGAAAGCUGAGAAACAAACUGGGAUUAGAUACCCCACUAUGCUCAGCCAUAAACCCAGACAUCGAAGUACAAUUGUGUGUCCGCCAGGGCACUACGAGCAUUAGCUUGAAACCCAAAGGACCUGACGGUGCCUCAGACCCCCCUAGAGGAGCCUGUCCUAGAACCGAUAACCCCCGUUAAACCUCACCACUUCUGGUCUCCCCAGCCUAUAUACCGCCGUCGCCAGCUUACCCUGUGAGGGAAACAAAGUAAGCAAAAAGGGCACAACCCAGAACGUCAGGUCGAGGUGUAGCGCAUGAAGUGGGAAGAGAUGGGCUACAUUUUCUAUCGCAGAAUACUACGAAUGCGCAACAUGAAAUAGUGCUUGAAGGAGGAUUUAGUAGUAAAAAGGAACAAGAGUGUCCUUUUGAACCCGGCUCUGAGGCGCGUACACACCGCCCGUCACUCUCCCCUGUCAAAAUGCAAUAAACUUACCUAACCACAAAGCGCUGACAAGGGGAGGCAAGUCGUAACAUGGUAAGUGUACCGGAAGGUGCACUUGG